rnacentral:rRNA from 1 species
AGUACGCCUGGGACUUCGGUUCAGGGCGAUAAUGACCCCAAGCAGACUUCCUAGAAAAUUUUCUAAGCAUCAGGUAUAUACAGCCCGUACCAUAAACCGACACAGGUGGUCGAGGAGAGAAUCCUAGGCGCUCGAGUGAUCAUGGCUAAGGAACUAGGCAAAAUGGCCUCGUAACUUCGGGAGAAGGGGCGCUUCAUUUAAUAAUUGAAGCCGCAGUUAAAAGGCCCAGGCGACUGUUUAGCAAAAACACAGGACUCUGCUAAAUCGAAAGAUGAUGUAUAGGGUCUGACACCUGCCCGGUGCCGGAAGGUUAAGGAAGGGGGUUAGUGCGCAAGUGCGAAGCUCUUAACUGAAGCCCCGGUAAACGGCGGCCGUAACCAUAACGGUCCUAAGGUAGCGAAAUUCCUUGUCGGGUAAGUUCCGGCCUGCACGAAUGGUGUAACGAUCUGGGCGCUGUCUCAGCCAUGAGCUCGGUGAAAUUGAAGUAUCGGUGAAGAUGCCGGUUACCCGCAACGGGACGAAAAGACCCCGUGAACCUUUACUAUAGCUUCACAUUGUAUCUGAGUAUAGGAUGUGUAGGAUAGGUGGGAGACUAUGAAGUGGUGCCGCCAGGUGUCAUGGAGUCAUCCUUGAAAUACCACCCUUCCUAUACUUAGGUUCUAAUCCCGCCAAAGCGGGAGACAUUGUGUGGUGGGUAGUUUGACUGGGGUGGUCGCCUCCAAAAGAGUAACGGAGGCUUGCAAAGGUACCCUCAGCAUGGACGGUAAUCAUGCGAAGAGCAUAUAAGUAUAAGGGUGCUUGACUGUGAGAUUGACGGAUCGAUCGGGGACGAAAGUCGGCUUAAGUGAUCCGGUGGUUCCGCAUGGAAGGGCCAUCGCUCAAAGGAUAAAAGGUACUCCGGGGAUAACAGGCUGAUUUCCCCCAAGAGCUCAUAUCGACGGGGAAGUUUGGCACCUCGAUGUCGGCUCGUCACAUCCUGGGGCUGGAGAAGGUCCCAAGGGUUGGGCUGUUCGCCCAUUAAAGUGGCACGCGAGCUGGGUUCAGAACGUCGUAAGACAGUUCGGUCUCUAUCUGUUGUGGGCGUAGGAAUAUUGAGGAGAUCUGACACUAGUACGAGAGGACCGUGUUGGACGUACCGCUGGUGUACCAGUUGUGCCGCCAGGUGCAUUGCUGGGUAGCUAAGUACGGAAUGGAUAAGCGCUGAAAGCAUCUAAGCGCGAAGCCAACUUCAAGAUGAGUAUUCCAUAUCAGGGCCGUGGGAGAUUACCACGUAGAUAGGCUAC